AACGCUAGCUACAGGCUUAACACAUGCAAGUCGAGGGGCAGCGGGAUUGAAGCUUGCUUCAAUUGCCGGCGACCGGCGCACGGGUGAGUAACGCGUAUCCAACCUUCCGUACACUCAGGGAUAGCCUUUCGAAAGAAAGAUUAAUACCUGAUGGUAUGAUGAGAUUGCAUGAUAGCAUCAUUAAAGAUUUAUCGGUGUACGAUGGGGAUGCGUUCCAUUAGGUAGUAGGCGGGGUAACGGCCCACCUAGCCAACGAUGGAUAGGGGUUCUGAGAGGAAGGUCCCCCACAUUGGAACUGAGACACGGUCCAAACUCCUACGGGAGGCAGCAGUGAGGAAUAUUGGUCAAUGGACGAGAGUCUGAACCAGCCAAGUAGCGUGAAGGAUGAAGGUCCUACGGAUUGUAAACUUCUUUUAUAAGGGAAUAAACCCUCCCACGUGUGGGAGCUUGUAUGUACCUUAUGAAUAAGCAUCGGCUAACUCCGUGCCAGCAGCCGCGGUAAUACGGAGGAUGCGAGCGUUAUCCGGAUUUAUUGGGUUUAAAGGGAGCGUAGAUGGAUGUUUAAGUCAGUUGUGAAAGUUUGCGGCUCAACCGUAAAAUUGCAGUUGAUACUGGAUAUCUUGAGUGCAGUUGAGGCAGGCGGAAUUCGUGGUGUAGCGGUGAAAUGCUUAGAUAUCACGAAGAACUCCGAUUG
rnacentral:rRNA from 1 species